rnacentral:tRNA from 1 species
GGGAGUUUGGCCGAGUGGUUAAGGCGCUGUGUUUAGGUCAUCCCUCACCGGAUACUUGAAUCCCGCAGUGGGAAACCGCGCAGGUUCGAAUCCUGCAGCUCUCA